UACAGGGCUAUUCUGGGCAACCUCACUGAUGUCUCACAAGUCACAAUAACCUCAUAACUCCAGUUAAACUCGAUUUUGUGACUUUUUCGUAUUCUAACGAAAACCUCACAGUCACAAGAACCUCAUAAGGUGUGGUGAGUUUGAUUUUGUGAGGUUUUUCGAAUUCUGGCGUACCCUCACAACUUGUGAGCCUCAUAAAAAUUGUAAAAAUUGUGAUCUCCUUCAGAGCAGGAAACUCAGGACUAUCGUCACAGUAGCUUUUGCUGUAUCGAAAUCAAAUUCUCAUUGAAUCUGGAAAAAAGCCUUCAAUCAGGUUAAAACUAUCAAGAGCAAGUGCUCUCCUAAACAGUACGAGACGAACAAAAUAAGCCCAGAGUGGGCAACGUUAUUUUUGACCCAGCAUUAGGAUUUCAUGCGUGAGACUCAAACACCGUUGAAAGAAAGAAUUUACAAACUAGCUGCCAGUCCAGUGGACUGGUUGGUUACAAGAAACACAAAGCUGUGGAAGACAUCGAUUCUGACAAUUGUCCACCAUCUUUGCUGAAGAAGCUUUCCAAUAAACAAAGUAAUGCUUAAAAACCUGCGUCAAGCCACCGAAGUUGGUGUCAAUCGCAAACAACAUAAAAAGACUAUAUAGCAAAACACUUAAAAGCAGCAGCGGCAACAUCAUCGACAAGUGCGCAUACAACAAUUACAACAACUUCAGUAUAUCAGCCCCAAACACCAAAUAUAAUAAACAGAGUCUAAUGACGUCCGCAGUUGAAGUUCCUUAGCCUAAUUGGCAAUUUUUAGUCAUCACAGGUUGACACAAUAAAUCAACAGGCCAAAAUCAGCCUCCAGUUGACCACAAGAUACAAAUAAGGCCAAUUGUCAAUGAUUCAGGCCUUUAAAUCAUUCCACACUACAACGGCCAACUCACAAUCAUCACCCACGGCAACAGUAGCAACAUCAGCAAUAGCAACAAGAAGCCAAUGCCAAAGCAUUAGCGUAUGCACUUAUGCAGCCAUAAUGCAACUACCAGACCAUAAGCAAUACCCCAAGUUCCGCAAACACUGUGUGUCUCAAUUUUGUUUUUACCGAUCUCAAAUUCACCAAAAGAUCACCAAUCGCAGACUCUGUUGAAAAAUUUAAUUUGUUUUGAUUUACAAAAAUCUUUCCUAAAUUCUAGAAAUUAGAGAUUUAUAUUUUUUUAGAAAAAUUAUUUUAUUAAAACGCAUCUUACAAUAAAAAUAACGUAUGAAUGCAACCAAAAUCAUAAA